UCGCUCGCAGCCUAGCGGCAGAGGGAGGUCUAGAGGCCUCUGGGGGAGGGGUGAGGGUAGGGGCGCGGCGACUGGGGGCGAGGGUAAGGGGGGUGGGCCGCCGCUUAUUCGACUCCGCCCCGACGGGCGUCGCUUGGGAUCGNNNNNNNNNNNNNGGAGGUCGGCCGCGGCCGCGCUGCCAGCCGCCCUCUAGAGCUGCUCCCUCUAGGUCGUCCCGGUACCGGUCGAGGCCGUAGCGGAUGGGGCUGGCGAAGAUGCGGCGGCGCCGGAUGCGGCCGAAGCCGCGGCCGCGGGGGAGGUGGCGGCGGUAGAGGGCGAAGGUCUUGCUGCAGCGGGAGGAGGAGAUGCCGGAGGUGGUCGUCCGCUGCCAGCCCGGGACGUUGCACGGGUUCGGGUCCCGCACCUCGGGGCACCUCGUCUCGUUUACCUGCUCGACCGUACCCGAACCUUCGUACGGCAGGCGUCUCCGCUACGCAGAGAAACAGUUUUAUGACCUCCUCCUUCUAGGACCUACCAUGAGAUCUUAGGGACUCAAGUAGUUGGGAGUCGGACAUCAUCUAUAACUUUACGUAUUUGGUUUCCUUCUCGGCCUGUAGCAUGGCCGAAACUGUUUACCUUGACCUUGUAGUAGUUAAGGUCUUGGGUUUUGGUAAAGACUUUCGCCUUCAAGUCACCUCUGUGUUCUGUUUCAACAAUAAGACCUUCCAGAAUCAUGACAGUCACGAGUGCUCCUUACCUGACGUAACAGACAAUCGCCGGUCGCCGGAUUUGGGGCGAUACUCGUACCCCGUUGACAUGAUGUUCUGUUUUACAUAUAUAAACCACCUUUGGUGUUACCCGCAAUAGAAUCACUGGAAGUCCAAAACCUAGACUUCUCAAACUGAACCAGGUUCCAACUACGGUUUAACGUUCGUCCUUGUAGUCUAAGUCGAUUUUGUCGUGUUCAGAGAGGUACACGACCGGUAAGAAACUAUAGUACGCCAUUGUUUAAGAAGAGACAACGACCCGUAUGUUUUCUAGGUAGACUGUCGUAAUGUCACUUCCUUAAACUAGGUGUAUGAACAUGGACCAGCUAACAGUUCUGAAUGCCUUUUGGUGGCCAAAGAGCACCUCCAGUCAGUCACUGAGAACAACCUUGUUGAGAUCAGCACAAGCCACCGCUUCUACGUUUCGCUACAGAAAACUUACUAAACGUGUAAGAACUAGAACUUUGGUACUGUACCCUACUACACCUACGUUAUCCGUGGGGAGGACGAGGAUCUAGUCUGGUACAACGACGAACGGUACGACUGGCGAUAGAAGAUUAAAAACCGCCGCCUAGAGUACGCUGUACAAAAUUACUGGAUGUACAGGAACUAAACGUCUGCUACCUUACCAGUUCUGGGUUUGUCGUCCCGGGCUAAGGUUCGGGUGCUCGACCAGUGCGUCCACGUUGACAACCUCUCUUAACCAUGUAACAACCACCACCGUUAUUGUUUUCGCCACAGAGGCUUUGUGAACACGAAUUGUACAGUUGAGACCGUACCAGCCAACAAUCGUGACAUCUUCCUGCACAAGGAGAACGGUCACUCCCGUACUGAAAUAACAUAUCGUUAAUAUCACCUCUUCUAAUAGAGUAAAGAAAACCUCCUAUGUUACCUGCCAUGUCGUUACUCCACAUACGAGAAUUUGAAUCACAUUUCAAUCUAAACGUCAGCUCGUGUUUCCUGGUUGGGUGGAGUCUAUCAUGCAGAUCCCACGACCUUGGACUCCAACUUUAAAGAGUUCUACCCUUCUAUGCCCUCUAACGGUACCUGUUACGACUAAGCUUUUUGUCUUUACUACUUCGUUUACUUGUUGAAAACCGUCGGGAAUUUCGACUCUUUCUGCUUGAUCUCCGUUGGGAAUUGUCCCUUCCUGACGUUUGACAUGUCGAAUUCCUUCUCUAUUGACUUCGUCUCCGGUCUUUACGACUCGACUGUUUCCUUGAAGUUCGACAGGCACCCGUUGAACGGCGACUCGUCAGCUCUACAAAGUUUGACCUCCACCUGCACCGCCUCGACGCCGUUUUCGAAGUCUCAGACCUACGUGACCUCUCCCUCCACCUCGAGGAAGUAUCCGUCUUCCGCCGAAGGCUCGUCCUCGUCCGCCGCGACCUGCGGUUCGUCUUCUUCGUUCGACCGAGCCCGCCGCACACCCCGACCGAACAGCCUUGGGGAGGUCUGCUACUACUAAGGCUCAGCAGCACUAUCCCGUCCGUUUAAGUAAGUAAGUACGAAGAAAGAGGAAGAAAUCGGGGUAUGUAUAUAUGAUAUAUAUGUGUCCGUCGCUAGUCAACCAUAUGAACGAACAUGAGAUGUAAUUAAGAUAAGAUGUCUGUUUGCAUGAUGAUGAACGGUAAACUACUAAACAGGCGGGCCGUUAAAGAAGAAGAGAUAAAGUAAACUCCUGGUUCGUUAUUAGAUACACACACAAAGGAACGCUACUAGCUCGUAAUCAAUAGACCAUUUAUGCGUUAAAGUAAACUUACAAACACAAAGA
rnacentral:rRNA from 1 species